AGGGAUGUAGUUCAGUGGUAGAAUGUAUGCCUGGCAUGGAUGAGGCCCUGGGUUUGAUUCCCCAGCAUUGCAA
rnacentral:tRNA from 1 species